CUGCUAUCAGAAUGAGAUUAAGCCAUGCGAGUCAACGUAGCAAUACGUGGCACACGGCUCAGUAACACGUAGUCAACAUAACCAGAGGACGUGGAUAAACUCGGGAAACUGAGGCUAAACCGCGAUAGACCAAGAUACCUGGAAUGGUUUUUGAUCAAAAUCUAUAUGGCCUUUGGAUUGGACUGCGACCGAUCAGGCUGUUGGUGAGGUAAUGGCCCACCAAACCUGUAACCGGUACGGGCUCUGAGAGGAGGAGCCCGGAGAUGGGUACUGAGAAAAGGACCCAGGCCCUAUGGGGCGCAGCAGGCGCGAAACCUCUGCAAUAGGCGAAAGCCUGACAGGGUUAUUCUGAGUGACUUUCGCUAAGAAAGUCUUUUGACAUCUCUAAAAAUGGUGUAGAAUAAGGGGUGGGCAAGUCUGGUGUCAGCCGCCGCGGUAAUACCAGCACCCCGAGUGGUCGGGACGAUUAUUGGGCCUAAAGCAUCCGUAGCCGGUUUUACAAGUCCUCCGUUAAAUCCAACUGCUUAACAGAUGGGCCGCGGAGGAUACUAUAAGACUAGGAGGCAGGAGAGGCAAGCGGUACUCAGUGGGUAGGGGUAAAAUCCGUUGAUCCAUUGAAGACCACCAGUGGCGAAGGCGGCUUGCCAGAAUGCGCUCGACGGUGAGGGAUGAAAGCUGGGGGAGCAAACCGGAUUAGAUACCCGGGUAGUCCCAGCUGUAAACGAUGCAGACUCGGUGAUGGACUAGCUUAAUGCUAGUCCAGUGCCGCAGGGAAGCCGUUAAGUCUGCCGCCUGGGUAGUACGGUCGCAAGACU
rnacentral:rRNA from 1 species